UAUCCGGAUUUAUUGGGUUUAAAGGGAGCGUAGAUGGAUGUUUAAGUCAGUUGUGAAAGUUUGCGGCUCAACCGUAAAAUUGCAGUUGAUACUGGAUGUCUUGAGUGCAGUUGAGGCAGGCGGAAUUCGUGGUGUAGCGGUGAAAUGCUUAGAUAUCACGAAGAACUCCGAUUGCGAAGGCAGCCUGCUAAGCUGCAACUGACAUUGAGGCUCGAAAGUGUGGGUAUCAAACAGGAUUAGAUACCCUGGUAGUCCACACGGUAAACGAUGAAUACUCGCUGUUUGCGAUAUACGGCAAGCGGCCAAGCGAAAGCGUUAAGUAUUCCACCUGGGGGAGUACGCCGGCAACGGUGAAACUCAAAGGAAUUGACGGGGGCCCGCACAAGCGGAAGAACAUG
rnacentral:rRNA from 1 species